AACGCUGGCGGCAGGCCUAACACAUGCAAGUCGAGCGGUAACAGAUCCAGCUUGCUGGAUGCUGACGAGCGGCGGACGGGUGAGUAAUGCAUAGGAAUCUGCCCGAUAGUGGGGGAUAACCUGGGGAAACCCAGGCUAAUACCGCAUACGUCCUACGGGAGAAAGGGGGCUCCGGCUCCCGCUAUGGGAUGAGCCUAUGUCGGAUUAGCUAGUUGGUGAGGUAACGGCUCACCAAGGCCACGAUCCGUAGCUGGUCUGAGAGGAUGAUCAGCCACAUCGGGACUGAGACACGGCCCGAACUCCUACGGGAGGCAGCAGUGGGGAAUAUUGGACAAUGGGGGAAACCCUGAUCCAGCCAUGCCGCGUGUGUGAAGAAGGCCCUCGGGUUGUAAAGCACUUUCAGCGAGGAAGAACGCCUAGCGGUUAAUACCCGCUAGGAAAGACAUCACUCGCAGAAGAAGCACCGGCUA
rnacentral:rRNA from 1 species